AAUUUUCACGUACUUUUGACUACCGAAAUUUCAGUACACUAUAGUUGUUUAUCGUCUCCCUACAGUGAAUAGUUUGAGAAUUGUUCUGGCUAUUUACCAUUAAACAUAUUUUGACAAUACAAUGCUUUUUUGUAAGAUUCCACAAAUUUAAAACCCUUUUUAUUAAAAGCAAAAAUAAAAAACAUAAUCAUCAAAGUACGAAGUUCAUCAUCUUCCAAGCUCCUGCGACCACGUUUAAAUUCAGCUGCCCAAAAUUUUACGAUGGUAAACGAUGGUGCAGAGUCAUCAUACACAGAGUCCAACUCAUCUUUGAUUUGUGAAGGCGUAUUGCCUUUCAAAAAUAAAAAUUUAAUUACAGCUCGAUAUUCAAUUUUUUCCAUUUUGGGGAAAUCACCGAAAUAGACUCACAAAAACGACUGUCAACAGAUAAUUGCGCAAGAUAAAUUUCUGAAACUUUGGCGAGUAGCUAUUAUAAUAUGCACAAUUUGAAGUAGAAACUUUUUUUUAAGAUGUGCCGCUAGCUUCACGUUGAGGUCGGUUAUUUAUCGGACAGCCCUCGUAUAUCCUCUUAUGAACAUAAGUAUAUAUGUACAUGUGUACAUUGCGAAACAUAAAGCAAAAAACGACAUACACAUCUCUUUUUUAUAUAUAUUUUUAUAUAACUUAAGCUAUUUACAAUUUUUCCAUAUCCCAACAUCAUCCUUCCAUAGAGUUCCCAUACAAAAGCCCAACUAAAAAUCACUCCUAGCGCUCCACUCGUAAAUUACCCCAGUUGACAGCUAUAAAAUCUAAUGACCUGUCAAAGGAAACAAGAAUCGCUUAAUUUUCUUCUGCGGAUCGCAUGAAUUUCAUUCAAAGCGCCAAACACCAUAUUAUCUGUCAGUGCCACUCUGCCUGGUGACACAGGCGUUGCCGUAGACGUUGUCUACCAUCUCAUUGAAAAUAAAUUUUUUUCUUAGCUCAAAUAUCAGCAUCAACUUACAAUAGAAAACCACAACAAAAAGUCGAAAAAAAUCGUAACUUGUGUAUUGUUGCGCACGUGGCAUGCCACACUACACCUUCAACGCCCACUGACUGUCUCGGGCAGCGCGCUUUGUUGCGACAACAAUUGCUUUCGAGUGCAAUGAAUGCGCUUUGGGCGGUCGAUUUUACGGUAUAGUUCACAUUUUAUCAACGCUUCUCUCGCCCCCGCUGGAGGUGACACAAGUAGGUAAGCCUCGACCAAAACUUCAGAAUUCCAUUGUUAAUAAUUCUGUAGUUCUGCUCCUCAAUUGUUUUAGAGGCGGAGAGAAGUGUUCCCAUAACAUUAAUAUGCUUUUUUUUAUUAUUCUUUUCCAAUUCAUUUUACUAUCUUCUAUUUAAUGUCUUCGAUAUUUGUGUUUUAAUAAAUUUGUCUGUCUGCUGAGUGGUUAUGUAAGUUGGGUGGGUUCAUUGUAUUAAUAAUGUUGUUUAUUUCGUUUUCAAGGGCUUGUUGUAAAUUAAAUGUUCAAUUUAUAUGCUCUUUAUGUGUAGCCGAAGAGUUUAUUAAGACUUUAUUAUAUCGGCAGGAAAUUGGAAAAAAAUUUUGAAAGAAAUAAAAGUUCAAUAAUUUACAUAUUUAUGUACGGGUAGAUACCCAGCGGGAUAAUGGUUCACUGCUUACAUUUUUCUUUGAAGAAUGCUUCGAAGAAAAUUCUAUGUACAAUUCUUCGAUACCAGGUAAUGCAUAAAAGUAAGCUAUGCAGAAUAAUGGUUCGCCGCUUACAUUUUUCUUUGAAGAAUGCUUCGAAGAAAAUUCUGUGUACAAUUCUUCGAUACCAGGUAAUGCAUAAAAGUAAGCUAUGCGGUAUAAUGGUUCCCCGCUUACAUUUUUCUUUGAAGAAUACUUCGAAGAAAAUUCUAUGUAGAAUUCUUCGAUACCAGGUAAUGCAUAAAAGUAAGCUAUGCGGCUAAAUUCUACUGUGUUCAUAUUUACUAGUCAAGUAAGUACGUGAAAAACGACAAAUACAAAUUGAUGGAAUAAAAUUUAUAAGUAAAUUUUUUCAUUAUUUCUUCAAAUCAUCAAGCAAAAAGUUGCUAUUUGAAUGUGUGAAAGUUGAAGGCUUCACCGAAUCGGAGUAUAUUCACCAAAUUCAAAAAAGUAUGAAGCUCGCCAAAGGCCGUUUCUUCAAGUCUCGUUGCUUGGAAAAAAAAACGAAAAGAGACUCAGCCACAAAAAUAAAAGAAAACCAUAAUGGCUAAAUGAGUAGCGACCAACAUCUCCGCUUUGGCAGCAUCCCGGAUCUUUCCGCUAGUUACCCGUCUGUAUAUAUGUAUGUAUAUUUAACGUUUUUUAAAACCUGCUGUUUUCAACCUUUGAAUAUUUUAUAUAUACAUACAUAUAUACUCGUAAUAUGUAUUUAACGUUUUUAAACUAUUUCAAUUUGUAAUAAUUCAGUUCGCUAAACACAUUUUGUUAUAACAAUUUUUAAGUGCAUUUCGCAUAAAAUAAAACCUUUAUAACGAUUGUAUUGAAUCUAGUGCAUUUUUCUUUUUAACAAAAAGUGUGAGUGGCCUACGAGUAUAAGGUGAGUUUUUGUACACAUAAUACUUAUUUUCAUACAAAUAUGCAAUUUUUCCCAUUGACCUUGGCAUCAAAGAAUUCUUCGUGAACUAUGGCAUCGAAGAAUUCUUCGUUAACUGUGGCAUCGAAGAAUUCAUCGUUAACUGUGGCAUCAAAGAAAUCUUCGUUAACUAUGGCAUCGAAGAAUUCUUCGUCCCUAUGGUAAGCGAAAGGGGUGAUCUGUUACUUUUCGUAGGACAUCGCCGUGUUAAUUUUCAUCGGUCGGGGUAAGCGAUACAAUCAUGCUGCAUCGUUUACCUUGCUCGCUUACCAAUGUCUACCAUAUCCCGCUGGGUAUGUAUA